rnacentral:rRNA from 1 species
GCACAAGCAGCGGAGCGUGUGGUUUAAUUCGUUGCUACACGAAGAACCUUACCUGGGUUUGACAUAAUGGUGGUAGGGAUCCGAAAGGUGACCGACCUUCGGGGAGCCAUUACAGGUGUUGCAUGGCUGUCGUCAGCUCGUGUCGUGAGAUGUUCGGUUAAGUCCGCUAACGAGCGCAACCCUCGCUGUGUGUUAUAUGUGUCACACAGGACUGCUGGUAUUAAGCCGGAGGAAGGUGGGACGACGUCAAGUCAGCAUGGCCUUUAUAUCCUGGGCUACACACACGCUACAAUGGUCGGUACAAUAGGUUGCCAAGCCGCGAGGCGGAGCCAAUCCACAAAGCCGGCCUCAGUUCAGAUUGUAGGCUGCAACUCGCCUGCAUGAAGAUGGAGUUGCUAGUAACCGCAGGUCAGCAAUACUGCGGUGAAUACGUUCCCGGGUCUU